rnacentral:lncRNA from 1 species
UAGUCCCCCAAGUCUUCAGUCAAGAGAGUCUUUUGGCUGGAGACUUGAAAUUCAGUCCAUGUGUGGGCCGAAGUAACUAAAUGUCGUCUAGAACUGAUGCUCGAUAUGAGGCGGUACCCAAUCUGAAAUGAUGCUCAACUAGAAGUAGCACAUGUUGUGAGGCCACUUUGCUUGUAGCUUAUGUUGCCUUGGUUGGCUUGGCUUGUGGCGUUUGAAGGUGAGGGAGUCCCUUUUAUAAAAUAAGGGCUCGCUCCUCAAUACAUAAAUGAUGGGCUAGAGUUGAUGCUCACGGCGAGGCGGUUGCUCAGCAGGCGGCGAUGCUCUCUAAUGAUGGUGAGGGAGUCUUUUUUAUAAACUAAGGGCUCGCUCCUCGAUACAUAAAUUUAGGAGUGAUGCUCGUGGCGAGGUGGUUGCUCAGCUGGCGGCAAUACUCUCUAAUGGUGGUGAGGGAGUCCCUUUUAUAAAAUAAGGGCUCGCUCCUCAAUACAUAAGUGAUGGGCUAAGUCCCCCAAGUAUUUUUCAUGAGGCCCAGUUGAGGCCCAAUAUAUGGUACAUAAUGUAGUCCCCCAAGUCUUCGGUCAAUAGAGUCUGUUGGCUGGAGACUUCAAAUUGAAUCCAUGUAUGGGCCGAAGUGGCGGUUGUUCGGAGGCGGUAUUUGUAUACCCUGCACUGAAGCUUUGUAGGUGAAGCUUUGCAAGUGAAGCUUUGAAGCUAGAGCUCUGUAAAUGAAGCUUUUGAAGCUGAUUGACAUGAGUGAUGCUCAUGAAUGUUUAUGUUGAUUGACAUGAGUGAUGCUCAUGGAUGUU